GACGAACUUUGGCGGCGUGCUUAACACAUGCAAGUCGAACGAUGAUGCCCAGCUUGCUGGGUGGAUUAGUGGCGAACGGGUGAGUAACACGUGAGUAACCUGCCCCUGACUCUGGGAUAAGCGUUGGAAACGACGUCUAAUACUGGAUAUGAUCACUGGCCGCAUGGUCUGGUGGUGGAAAGAUUUUUUGGUUGGGGAUGGACUCGCGGCCUAUCAGCUUGUUGGUGAGGUAACGGCUCACCAAGGCGACGACGGGUAGCCGGCCUGAGAGGGUGACCGGCCACACUGGGACUGAGACACGGCCCAGACUCCUACGGGAGGCAGCAGUGGGGAAUAUUGCACAAUGGGCGAAAGCCUGAUGCAGCAACGCCGCGUGAGGGAUGACGGCCUUCGGGUUGUAAACCUCUUUUAGUAGGGAAGAAGCGAAAGUGACGGUACCUGCAGAAAAAGCACCGGCUAACUACGUGCCAGCAGCCGCGGUAAUACGUAGGGUGCAAGCGUUGUCCGGAAUUAUUGGGCGUAAAGAGCCCGUAGGCGGUUUGUCGCGUCUGCUGUGAAAUCCCGAGGCUCAACCUCGGGCUUGCAGUGGGUACGGGCAGACUAGAGUGCGGUAGGGGAGAUUGGAAUUCCUGGUGUAGCGGUGGAAUGCGCAGAUAUCAGGAGGAACACCGAUGGCGAAGGCAGAUCUCUGGGCCGUAACUGACGCUGAGGAGCGAAAGCAUGGGGAGCGAACAGGAUUAGAUACCCUGGUAGUCCAUGCCGUAAACGUUGGGCGCUAGAUGUAGGGACCUUUCCACGGUUUCUGUGUCGUAGCUAACGCAUUAAGCGCCCCGCCUGGGGAGUACGGCCGCAAGGCUAAAACUCAAAGGAAUUGACGGGGGCCCGCACAAGCGGCGGAGCAUGCGGAUUAAUUCGAUGCAACGCGAAGAACCUUACCAAGGCUUGACAUACACCGGAAACGGCCAGAGAUGGUCGCCCCCUUGUGGUCGGUGUACAGGUGGUGCAUGGUUGUCGUCAGCUCGUGUCGUGAGAUGUUGGGUUAAGUCCCGCAACGAGCGCAACCCUCGUUCUAUGUUGCCAGCGGGUUAUGCCGGGGACUCAUAGGAGACUGCCGGGGUCAACUCGGAGGAAGGUGGGGAUGACGUCAAAUCAUCAUGCCCCUUAUGUCUUGGGCUUCACGCAUGCUACAAUGGCCGGUACAAAGGGCUGCGAUACCGUAAGGUGGAGCGAAUCCCAAAAAGCCGGUCUCAGUUCGGAUUGAGGUCUGCAACUCGACCUCAUGAAGUCGGAGUCGCUAGUAAUCGCAGAUCAGCAACGCUGCGGUGAAUACGUUCCCGGGCCU
rnacentral:rRNA from 1 species